UAAAUUAAAGACUUCUGGGCCCCACCCCAGAGAUUCUAAAGAUAUGAGUUGAAGGCCAGGAAUCUGCAUUUUAAACAAACCUCCAGAUGGAUUGGCACAUGUGG
rnacentral:miRNA from 1 species